rnacentral:rRNA from 1 species
AUGGCGCCCUGCGUCAGCCGCUCUGCCGCCAGCAGCCUGCCGCACUCCAUCGAGGCCCGGUGCCACGACCGAGGGUCCCCCAUGAAGCCCACGAGUGGACAACCAGGAGGCGACGUGAUGGCAAAGGCGACAAGAACGGCAUCGCAGGUGAGUUCCACCACCGCUGGAACCUUCUUUCUCCAUGUUCAGUUGCACAUCUUAUCUCUGCAUGUCCUAAGCUGCUACUCCAUGACUAUUUGUGUGUGUAUAGCUGUUAUAUCAUACGCUACUCUCACAAUUUUGAUCCCAAGUUAUGUGCUGGGUGUGUAUAAUUGUACCUUAUUUUGCAGUUGCUGCCGGGGCAGCAGCUUCACACUACCACACCGUCCUAGGCUUCAAAAUCUGGUAAUGCAACUCCCCCUCCGCCUCCUUAGUUCGGAAAUUGGUUGGUGGCGCACAGUGGAGACUAAAAUUUCAGUGGAGGCUUCUUUCCACAAUUAUGUUCAUCUCAGCCAUAAGAUAGAGAGAGAUCAAUAG